rnacentral:rRNA from 1 species
UACGUAGGCAGCAAGCGUUGUUCGGAAUUAUUGGGCGUAAAGAGUGUGUAGGCGGUGCUCCAAGUCUGUUGUGAAAUCUCCCGGCUUAACUGGGAGGGUGCGGCGGAAACUGGAAUGCUAGGGGGUGGGAGAGGUAAGCGGAAUUCCUGGUGUAGCGGUGAAAUGCGUAGAUAUCAGGAGGAACACCUGUGGUGUAGACAGCUUACUGGACCACUUCUGACGCUGAGACACGAAAGCGUGGGUAGCAAACAGG